rnacentral:rRNA from 1 species
AGCUCCGGCGGUGCAGGAUGAGCCCGCGGCCUAUCAGCUUGUUGGUGAGGUAAUGGCUCACCAAGGCGACGACGGGUAGCCGGCCUGAGAGGGCGACCGGCCACACUGGGACUGAGACACGGCCCAGACUCCUACGGGAGGCAGCAGUGGGGAAUAUUGCACAAUGGGCGAAAGCCUGAUGCAGCGACGCCGCGUGAGGGAUGACGGCCUUCGGGUUGUAAACCUCUUUCAGCAGGGAAGAAGCGAAAGUGACGGUACCUGCAGAAGAAGCGCCGGCUAACUACGUGCCAGCAGCCGCGGUAAUACGUAGGGCGCGAGCGUUGUCCGGAAUUAUUGGGCGUAAAGAGCUCGUAGGCGGCUUGUCACGUCGGUUGUGAAAGCCCGGGGCUUAACCCCGGGUCUGCAGUCGAUACGGGCAGGCUAGAGUUCGGUAGGGGAGAUCGGAAUUCCUGGUGUAGCGGUGAAAUGCGCAGAUAUCAGGAGGAACACCGGUGGCGAAGGCGGAUCUCUGGGCCGAUACUGACGCUGAGGAGCGAAAGCGUGGGGAGC